AAGGUAGCGAGGGUAGCGAGGGUAGCGAAGGUAGCGAGGGUAGCGAGGGUAGCGAAGGUAGCGAGGGUAGCGAAGGUAGCGAGGGUAGCGAGGGUAGCGAGGGUAUCUAAAUCUAAUCUAAGGGGCGGACCAUUAGAAAUCCCGAGAGGGGGGGUGAACAUUCCCAAAAAAAAAUUCGUGCAAAGAGAAAUGCCUGGAAAAAAAAUUCGUGCAUCCAUUACGUCAGAGAAAAAAAUUCGUGCAAGCAAACAGAAAAGUCAUGGGCGUACCGGGCAGUCGGCAGUCGGGUAAUAUUCGCUGCAACGAGGUUGUAUUCGCUGAACAGUCGGGCAAUUUUAGUUUAUUAAAAAAAAUCAAAUUUGACAAAUUCUGUCAAUGUUGUGGUAAAUUUUGGUAUGUGGUAUGUCCGGAAAAAAUUUCUGACCCCUAAAAUGGUACACUGACCGAAAUUUUUUUUUGCGACGGGGGGGGGGUCGCCAUGAGCAAAGUACAAGUAGUCUUGAAAAAAAAUUCGUGCAGAGGUUAAGUGCAUUAAAAAAAAUUCCUGCAGACACAUGAGACUGAAAAAAAAAUUCGUGCCGCAAAAAGUUUAUACCCCCCUCCCGGGAUUUCUAAUGGUCCGCCCCUAAGAGAUUAUGACUAACAUAUAAUAAUGUGGUUAUAAUUAAGCUAUGACAAUUAAUACACUUCAAACUUACGCAAACACUAAAAUACUGAUUUAUAUAGAGAACAGCUGAUUGUCAAUUGCUCUUUUGAAU
rnacentral:lncRNA from 1 species